CUUUGCCUAGGAGACUGCUCAAUGUCUCGGGGGGGGGGGGGGCAAAGAUUUUAAUUUACAAUUAUUGCAUCUAAUCUGUCCUGCAAGAGAAUUAUUAUUCAUUGCAACCAACACAGGCUUCUGAUUGGUCGAUUCAAAAAGGGGCAUGGCUUCGCGGGAAAAGCCGCGAAAGCCGGCUAUAAAAGGACAAGCCGGCGAACGCUCUUCAUUCUUCAUCGGCAGCCGACGCGAGAGGAUCGUUUGGAAAAUCCCACCCACCCACCCUGUUAUUGUAUAACAUAUAUGAAUGCAUAAUAAAUAAAAAAAAAUAUAUAUAUAUUGUCGCAGCGGUUAAUUGUUGUUUAUAGAGAAGUGUCAUAUGGAGGUAUGCUCCUGGCUAGGUGGUAAAUUGGCGGGGCUUAAGGAUAUUUGUUGUUAAUCUUUAAGGCGGUCCGCUGCAGAGAUCUGAUGCAGAGGCUGGCUGGGAAUAUAUGUAUGAGCAGGUAUUAGUAUCAUUAGCAAUGGUUAA